rnacentral:rRNA from 1 species
AGCGAACGCUGGCGGCAGGCCUAACACAUGCAAGUCGAACGAACCUUUCGGGGUUAGUGGCGGACGGGUGAGUAACACGUGGGAACGUGCCUUUAGGUUCGGAAUAACUCAGGGAAACUUGUGCUAAUACCGAAUGUGCCCUUCGGGGGAAAGAUUAAUCGCCUUUAGAGCGGCCCGCGUCUGAUUAGCUAGUUGGUUGAGGUAAUGGCUCACCAAGGCGACGAUCAGUAGCUGGUCUGAGAGGAUGAUCAGCCACAUUGGGACUGAGACACGGCCCAAACCCCUACGGGAGGGAGCAGUGGGGAAUCUUGCGCAAUGGGCGAAAGCCUGACGCAGCCAUGCCGGGUGAAUUAUGAAGGUCUUAGGAUUUAAAAAUUCUUUCCCCGGGGACGAUAAUGACGGUACCCGGAGAAGAAGCCCCGGCUAACUUCGU